CUGUGAGCUCGAUGAGUAGGGCGGGACACGUGGUAUCCUGUCUGAAUAUGGGGGGACCAUCCUCCAAGGCUAAAUACUCCUGACUGACCGAUAGUGAACCAGUACCGUGAGGGAAAGGCGAAAAGAACCCCGGCGAGGGGAGUGAAAAAGAACCUGAAACCGUGUACGUACAAGCAGUGGGAGCACAGGUUUACCUGUGUGACUGCGUACCUUUUGUAUAAUGGGUCAGCGACUUAUAUUCUGUAGCAAGGUUAACCGAAUAGGGGAGCCGGAGGGAAACCGAGUCUUAAUUGGGCGUUAAGUUGCAGGGUAUAGACCCGAAACCCGGUGAUCUAGCCAUGGGCAGGUUGAAGGUUGGGUAACACUAACUGGAGGACCGAACCGACUAAUGUUGAAAAAUUAGCGGAUGACCUGUGGCUGGGGGUGAAAGGCCAAUCAAACCGGGAGAUAGCUGGUUCUCCCCGAAAGCUAUUUAGGUAGCGCCUCGUGAAUUCAUCUCCGGGGGUAGAGCACUGUUUCGGCUAGGGGGCCAUCCCGGCUUACCAACCCGAUGCAAACUGCGAAUACCGGAGAAUGUUAUCACGGGAGACACACGGCGGGUGCUAACGUCCGUCGUGAAGAGGGAAACAACCCAGACCGCCAGCUAAGGUCCCAAAGUCAUGGUUAAGUGGGAAACGAUGUGGGAAGGCCCAGACAGCCAGGAUGUUGGCUUAGAAGCAGCCAUCAUUUAAAGAAAGCGUAAUAGCUCACUGGUCGAGUCGGCCUGCGCGGAAGAUGUAACGGGGCUAAACCAUG
rnacentral:rRNA from 1 species